rnacentral:rRNA from 1 species
UGGGGAAUCUUGGACAAUGGGGGCAACCCUGAUCCAGCCAUGCCGCGUGAGCGAAGAAGGCCUUAGGGUUGUAAAGCUCUUUCAGCUGGGAAGAUAAUGACGGUACCAGCAGAAGAGGCCCCGGCUAACUCCGUGCCAGCAGCCGCGGUAAUACGGAGGGGGCUAGCGUUGUUCGGAAUUACUGGGCGUAAAGCGCGCGUAGGCGGACUAUUAAGUCAGGGGUGAAAUCCCGGGGCUCAACCCCGGAACUGCCUUUGAUACUGGUAGUCUUGAGUUCGAGAGAGGUGAGUGGAAUUCCGAGUGUAGAGGUGAAAUUCGUAGAUAUUCGGAGGAACACCAGUGGCGAAGGCGGCUCACUGGCUCGAUACUGACGCUGAGGUGCGAAAGUGUGGGGAGCAAACAGGAUUAGAUACCCGCGUAG